AGAAUCAACGCUGGCGGCGUGCCUAACACAUGCAAGUCGAACGCGGUUACCCCGCAAGGGGUGACUGAGUGGCAAACGGGUGAGUAACGCGUGGGUGACCUACCUUCGAGUGGGGGAUAACGUUUCGAAAGGAACGCUAAAUACCGCAUGACAUCCUGCCUUUGGACAGGCGGAGAUCAAAGCCGGGGAUCGCAAGACCUGGCGCUUAAAGAGGGGCCCGCGUCCGAUUAGCUAGUUGGUGGGUAACGGCUCACCAAGGCGACGAUCGGUA
rnacentral:rRNA from 1 species